GAUGGAGUACUACAUAUUGCCAACAAGAUGUUUAGUAGUGAGGAUGAAGGUUAUAGAUUCUAUAACAAAUAUGGUCUUGAGAAAGGUUUUAGCGUCCGGAGAACCUAUGUCGAGUGGGAUGGAUCCAUCUGCCAUAUAAUUUUAAGGAAAUUUGUGUGCAGUCGUGAAGGGGUUCGUGAAGAGAAGCACAUGAAGGGGAAGAUGAAAGAUAGAAAAAGGAGGCCACGGAGUAUAACUCGUGUAGGGUGUAAAGCUAAAUUGGUGGUUGCAAGAUAGGAGGAAACAUGUCAGUGGUUUGUGAAGGAUUUCGUUGAUGAACACAACCAUCCUCUAGCCUCAUGGGAUUUGUUGUGUCUUUUGCGUUCACACAGAAGAAUUAGCGAUGAGUAGAAAGUGGACAUUACAGACAUGGAAAAAUUUGGGAUCAGAAAACACAUUAUGGAUAUUAUGUACAUGCAAUAUGGUGGAUACGAUGAGAUUGGAUGCAUUAUGAGGGACAUUUACAAUUUCUGCCAUGCUAACAAGAAGGAAUCAAUUGCUUCCGGGGAUGCUCAAAUGGUGAUCAAUCACAUGGUGGCGAGGCAAGAGCGAGAUUCAUUUUUUUUCUUUAUGUACUUGGUUGAUGAAGCUGGCCAUCUGAAGGGACUGUUCUGGUGUGAUAGUCAAUCCCGACUUGACUACGAGGCUUUCAGAGAUGUUAUUGUUUUUGAUAGCACAUAUAGAACCAAUAAGUACAAUCUGCCAUAUGUGCCAUUUGUCGGGUUGAAUCACCACCGCAACACUGUUAUUUUUGCAUGUCGUAUCAUUUCACAUGAAACAAUCCAGGCAUACGAGUGGAUGUUAUGGACCUUUUCUGAUGCUAUGGGAUAGAAGUAUCCUAUAUCUGUGAUCACCGAUGGGGACCCUGCAAUGCAGAGAGCAAUCAGGGUCAUGUGGCCUGACUCAAACCAUAGGCUAUGUAUAUGGCACAUUCAGCAGAACAUUGUACGUCAUCUGCAUGAUGAUGCGGUAAAGGAGGAAUUCAGAUCUUUCAUAUAUGGUACAUCUUCCAUUGAAGAGCAUGAGAGAAAAUGGUUACAGUCCUUACAACGAAAUAAAGUAACAAGUGAGGACUGCUGGCUACAUCAGAUGUAUAAGAUGAGAAAACUGUGGUGUGCUCCACAUCUUGAGGGGCGUUGUUUCCUAGGAUUGAGUAGCAAUCAGCGGAGUGAGAGUUUAAACUCAGUGCUACAUACACAUCUUGAGGCUAAGAUGACGUUGUUUCAAAUGCUAGAGCACUAUGAGCGUUGCCUUGCGUCGCGACGCUUGAACGAGGCUCUCCAAGUCAUCGAGGCCUUGCAAUCCGUUCCAUUCAUCGAGUAAAAUGCUUCAAGUCUUGAGAAACAUGCCGCAAAAGUUUUCACUCCUGAUGUGUUUAACUUGGUCUUAUGGAGCAUAAAUGUUGUAAGAAAAUGUGAGAUCAGAGUGGUACUUGAUGCAGCAGAAGUUACCACAUACGUUGUGUCUAAGAAGGAAAAAAUGGAUAAAAAUAUCGAAGUGCGCACGGAGUCGAACGAAGGUCUGCUUCACAGUAUCAGUUGUUCUUGCCGCAAAUUGGAAUGCGCAGGCACACCAUGUUCCCACAUAUUUUACAUAAGAAGAAACACUACCCAGGUGUUGUGUUCCCACUAG
rnacentral:rRNA from 1 species